GACAGGUGCUGCAUGGCUGUCGUCAGCUCGUGUUGUGAAAUGUUGGGUUAAGUCCCGCAACGAGCGCAACCCUUAUCCUUUGUUGCCAGCGAUUCGGUCGGGAACUCAAAGGAGACUGCCGGUGAUAAACCGGAGGAAGGUGGGGAUGACGUCAAGUCAUCAUGGCCCUUACGAGUAGGGCUACACACGUGCUACAAUGGCGCAUACAAAGAGAAGCGACCUCGCGAGAGCAAGCGGACCUCACAAAGUGCGUCGUAGUCCGGAUCGGAGUCUGCAACUCGACUCCGUGAAGUCGGAAUCGCUAGUAAUCGUGGAUCAGAAUGCCACGG
rnacentral:rRNA from 1 species